GAUGAACGCUGACGGAAUGCUUAACACAUGCAAGUCGACUGUGGCGGACGGUUAAGUAACGCGUAAAGAACUUGCCUGACAGUUAAGGACAACAUUAGGAAACGAAUGCUAAUGGCUGAUACUGUGAGAGAGCUUUGCGUCCCAUGAGCUAGUGGGAGAGGUAACGGCGCAGCAAUGCGAGGAUGGGUAGCCGGCCUGAGAGGGUGAUCGGCCACAUGCGGACUGGGACGCGGCCCGUACGCCUUCGGGGGGCAGGGGUGGGAGAUAUUGGACAAUGUGCCAAAGUGUGAUGCAGGAAUUCGGUGUGCACAAGUAAGUUUUCGGAAUGAAAAGGGCUUUCAGUAGGGAAGCGGUACCAACAGAAGAAGUGACGGCUAAAUACGUGCCAGCAGCCGCGGUAAUUC
rnacentral:rRNA from 1 species